rnacentral:lncRNA from 1 species
CAUGUCUAACCACCGCUCUAUAAAACUUCCAGUUGAGUUUUUGUGGAACUUUCUUGUCACAUAAGACUCCUGAUGCGAGCCUCCACUUCAACCACUCCGCUCCUAUUCGAUGAGUGAAAUCCCCGUCGAUAUCUCCGUCCCCUUGAAUCACCAACCCAAGAUAUCUGAAAUUGUCCCUCUUGGCUAUGACCUGAGAUCCAAGCUUCACGUCCCAGCCUACUUUGCUCGACUUGGCGCUAAACGUUCACUCCAGAUAUUCUGUCUUAGACCUGCUUAGUUUGAAACCCUUAAACUCGAAGGUCUGUCU